rnacentral:tRNA from 1 species
GCGGGAAAGCUCAGCCUGGUUAGAGCGUCUCACUGGUAAUGAGAAGGCCCCGGGUUCAAAGCCCGGCCGGGGCUCCA